AGGACGAACGCUGGCGGCGUGCUUAACACAUGCAAGUCGAGCGGAAAGGCCCUUCGGGGUACUCGAGCGGCGAACGGGUGAGUAACACGUGAGUAAUCUGCCCCUAGCUCUGGGAUAGCUCCGGGAAACCGGGAUUAAUACCGGAUACGACCACCUUAGACAUCUUUUGUGGUGGAAAGAAUUUCGGCUAGGGAUGAGCUCGCGGCCUAUCAGCUUGUUGGUGGGGUAACGGCCUACCAAGGCGACGACGGGUAGCCGGCCUGAGAGGGCGACCGGCCACGACUGGGACUGAGACACGGCCCAGACUCCUACGGGAGGCAGCAGUGGGGAAUAUUGCGCAAUGGGCGAAAGCCUGACGCAGCGACGCCGCGUGGGGGAUGAAGGCCUUCGGGUUGUAAACCCCUUUCAGCAGGGACGAAGCGAAAGUGACGGUACCUGCAGAAGAAGCGCCGGCUAACUACGUGCUAGCAGCCGC
rnacentral:rRNA from 1 species